CCGAAGGUGCGAACUUAAGCCCCAGUAAACGGCGGCCGUAACUAUAACGGUCCUAAGGUAGCGAAAUUCCUUGUCAGGUAAGUUCUGACCCGCACGAAUGGCGUAACGAUUUGGGCACUGUCUCAACAGCCCGCCCGGCGAAAUUGUAGUACCGGUGAAGAUGCCGGUUUCCCGCAACUAGACGGAAAGACCCCAUGGAGCUUCACUGUAGCUUGAUAUUGGAUCUCGGUAUUCCAUGUACAGGAUAGGUGGGAGGCUAGGAAGCAAGUGCGCCAGCAUUUGUGGAGCCAACCUUGGGAUACCACUCUUGGGGUAUUGGGAUUCUAACCUGCGCCCAUGAAUCUGGGCGGGGGACACUGUCAGGUGGGCAGUUUGACUGGGGCGGUCGCCUCCAAAAGAGUAACGGAGGCGCUCAAAGGUUCGUUCAGCACGGACGGAAAUCGUGCGGUGAGUGUAAACGCAGAAACGGGCCUAACUGCGAGAAUGACGGUUCGAGCAGUAACGAAAGUUGGAGUUAGUGAUCCGGCGGUAUGUGAAUGGAAAUGCCGUCGCUCAACGGAUAAAAGCUACCCUGGGGAUAACAGGCUGAUCUCCCCCAAGAGUCCACAUCGACGGGGAGGUUUGGCACCUCGAUGUCGGCUCAUCGCAUCCUGGGGCUGAAUUCGGUCCCAAGGGUUUGGCUGUUCGCCAAUUAAAGCGGUACGCGAGCUGGGUUCAGAACGUCGUGAGACAGUUCGGUCCCUAUCUGUUGCGGGCGCAGGAAUAUUGAAAGGAGCUGUCCUUAGUACGAGAGGACCGGGAUGGACGUACCGCUGGUGCACCAGUUGUUCCGCCAGGGGCAUAGCUGGGUAGCUAAGUACGGACGAGAUAAACGCUGAAGGCAUCUAAGCGUGAAACUCCCCUUAAGAUAAGUAUUCCCAUCCUUCGGGAGUAAGGCCCCAUGUAGACUACAUGGUUGAUAGGUCAGAAGUGGAAGUGCAGUAAUGUAUGCAGCGGACUGAUACUAAUCGGCCGAGGGCUUGACCUCA
rnacentral:rRNA from 1 species